GAGAUGGCUUAGUGCUCGAAAGAGAACCGUAACACAGGUGCUGCAUGGCUGUCGUCAGCUCGUGUCGUGAGAUGUUGGGUUAAGUCCCGCAACGAGCGCAACCCUUGUCAUUAGUUGCUACAUUUAGUUGGGCACUCUAAUGAGACUGCCGGUGACAAACCGGAGGAAGGUGGGGAUGACGUCAAGUCCUCAUGGCCCUUAUAGGUAGGGCUACACACGUCAUACAAUGGAUGGUACAAAGGGUCGCCAACCCGCGAGGGGGAGCCAAUCCCAUAAAACCAUUCGUAGUCCGGAUCGCAGUCUGCAACUCGACUGCGUGAAGUCGGAAUCGCUAGUAAUCGUGGAUCAGAAUGUCACGGUGAAUACGUUCCCGGGUCUU
rnacentral:rRNA from 1 species